AAAGGCUUGGUCUAGUGGUAAAAAGACAGGUCUUGAAUCCGAGAGAUCCCGGGUUCGAGCCCCGCUAGUGCCUUUG
rnacentral:tRNA from 1 species